UACGUAGGGGGCUAGCGUUGUCCGGAAUCAUUGGGCGUAAAGCGCGCGUAGGCGGCCCGGUAAGUCCGCUGUGAAAGUCAAGGGCUCAACCUUUGAAUGUCAGCGGAUACUGCCGGGCUAGAGUCCGGAAGAGGCGAGUGGAAUUCCUGGUGUAGCGGUGGAAUGCGCAGAUAUCAGGAGGAACACCAACGGCGAAGGCAGCUCGCUGGGACGGUACUGACGCUGAGGCGCGAAAGCGUGGGGAGCGAACAGG
rnacentral:rRNA from 1 species